rnacentral:rRNA from 1 species
AUUGAACGCUGGCGGCAUGCUUUACACAUGCAAGUCGAACGGCAGCGCGGGCUUCGGCCUGGCGGCGAGUGGCGAACGGGUGAGUAAUGCAUCGGAACGUGCCCAGUAGUGGGGGAUAGCCCGGCGAAAGCCGGAUUAAUACCGCAUACGACCUGAGGGUGAAAGCGGGGGACCGAAAGGCCUCGCGCUAUUGGAGCGGCCGAUGUCGGAUUAGCUAGUUGGUGGGGUAAAGGCUUACCAAGGCGACGAUCCGUAGCUGGUCUGAGAGGACGACCAGCCACACUGGGACUGAGACACGGCCCAGAAUCCUACGGGAGGCAGCAGUGGGGAAUUUUGGACAAUGGGGGCAACCCUGAUCCAGCCAUGCCGCGUGCGGGAAGAAGGCCUUCGGGUUGUAAACCGCUUUUGUUCGGGAAGAAAUCCUCUGGGAUAAUACCCCGGGGGGAUGACGGUACCGGAAGAAUAAGCACCGGCUAACUACGU